rnacentral:rRNA from 1 species
AUUGAACGCUGGCGGCAUGCUUUACACAUGCAAGUCGAACGGUAACAGGCCGCAAGGUGCUGACGAGUGGCGAACGGGUGAGUAAUGCAUCGGAACGUGCCCAGUCGUGGGGGAUAACGCAGCGAAAGCUGCGCUAAUACCGCAUACGAUCUGUGGAUGAAAGCGGGGGACCGAAAGGCCUCGCGCGAUUGGAGCGGCCGAUGUCAGAUUAGGUAGUUGGUGGGGUAAAGGCCCACCAAGCCAACGAUCUGUAGCUGGUCUGAGAGGACGAACAGCCACACUGGGGCUAGGACACGGCCCAGACUCCUACGGGAGGCAGCAGUGGGGAAUUUUGGACAAUGGGCGCAAGCCUGAUCCAGCAAUGCCGCGGGCAGGAAGAAGGCCUUCGGGUUGUAAACUGCUUUUGUGCGGAACGAAACGGCUCUGGUUAAUACCUGGGCUAAUGACGGUACCGUAAGAAUAAGCACCGGCUAACUACGUGCCAGCAGCCGCCGUAACAC